rnacentral:rRNA from 1 species
GACGAACGCUGGCGGCGUGCCUAAUACAUGCAAGUCGAGCGAAGUUUUUCUGGUGCUUGCACCGGAAAAACUUAGCGGCGAACGGGUGAGUAACACGUAAAGAACCUGCCUCAUAGACUGGGACAACUAUUGGAAACGAUAGCUAAUACCGGAUAACAGCAUUAACUGCAUGGUUGAUGUUUAAAAGUUGGUUUUGCUAACACUAUGAGAUGGCUUUGCGGUGCAUUGGCUAGUUGGUGGGGUAAAGGCCUACCAAGGCGACGAUGCAUAGCCGACCUGAGAGGGUGAUCGGCCACACUGGGACUGAGACACGGCCCAGACUCCUACGGGAGGCAGCAGUAGGGAAUCUUCCGCAAUGGGCGAAAGCCUGACGGAGCAACGCCGCGUGAGUGAAGAAGGAUUUCGGUUCGUAAAGCUCUGUUGUUAGGGAAGAAUGAUUGUGUAGUAACUAUACACAGUAGAGACGGUACCUAACCAGAAAGCCACGGCUAACUACGUG